UCAGGCUCCAGCGUCCACCCUUCCCACCGGCCCUGUGCCCUGGACUCCCCCACAGCCAGCACCCACUGGCCUUCUGCCUGAUUCUACCAGGAGAGGCGCUAAAAGGACAUGAAGGCGGGAGAAAGGGAAGCUGGGGUGUCUGUAAUCUUGGGCUCACUUUAGAUCUCGAGUUCGGCCACAGCUCCUGCCCCGAGGUCCUCUCCUCCAGCUUCUCCUCCUUCUGGGUUCCAGCAACUGCCCCUCAAGCCACGGGGAGGUCAGAUUUUUUAUACUGCACUUAUUUGUCAACGUAAAGAUUCUCCCAUAGUAAAAAGGUGGACCCUGAUCCAGUGGCUGGCGUCCGAAUGAGAAGAGGACGCGCACACGCUGAGGAGUCAGCCACAUGGAGCGGGAGGCAGAGACUGGAGGGGCGCAGCUGCCAGCCCUGGAAUGCCAGGACUGCCGGCCCCCAGAGGGGCUAGGAUGGCAGGGAGGACUCUGCCCCGGCGCCCUCACAGGAGCGUGAGGCC